CUGUGAACGAGAGGGAGCCGAGGGCUUCGUCUUCCCAGCAACAGGCGCUCGUGCCUCAGAGGCACGACAGAUUCCUAGGCGCUGCUUGAGUGUGACGUGUUUCCCAACUGCCACUACCCUCUUCAAAGUACUGACCUUGCAUAGUUUAAGCUAUUGUAUUCUUACCGCAUUAUCGGUUCGUCAUCUUUAUCGAUUCAUUUCCUUGCAUGCUUUCUACAGGCUGCCUCUGCAAGCCUCAGGAGGACAGUGCUCCUAAACUUGCCUGCACUUUACAUCACAUGGGGAUCUUCUAAAAAUUCCAAGCCCAGAGCAUACCCCAGGCCAAUUAAAUCACAAUUCCCUAGCGGUGGGAAACAGGUAUCAGUAGUUUUGGAAACUCUCCAGGUGAUUCCAAUGUGCAGAAAAGUUUGGGAACCACUGCCCUAAGGCCUUGCUGCUCAAAGUGUGGACUGUGGACCAGCAGCAUCACUAGAAAUCAGAACCUCUAACUACUUGAAUCAGAGAUCUCUGGGUGAUUUGACACACAUUAAGAUUUGGGAAGCACUGUUUAGAGGCCUGAAUGGAUAUGGGUAUCUUGAUUUAUGAGGACCACGUGUUUAAAGGAUGUCCUUGGAUGAGGAUAACAACGACAGGAUGGAUUGUGUGACCUUCCACCAGGGUCCAUCUGUUUAAAGAUGCAACAAGAUGAAAACAUGUCCUCCAUCUGCCACUCUCGCUUUUUUGUUGAACGAGCUGGGAUCCUGCAGAUGAGUGAGUGCUGUCUCCUGCCCGCUGGGACUGGUCUAGACCUGCUCCCAGCGCCAGUCCUACCACGUGCUAUUCCAGCAGGCAAGAAUCAGAGGCUUUGAAACUGUUCUUCUUGCAGAAGAACCCUCACCUGUGAUCUUGGAAGAAAAAAUUUUAAGAAACGAACAAAUUAUUAAUUUGGAAGCCAUCCUGGAGUUCUGAAAACUAAAAUCUGCUCUUUGAAAGAUACUACAGGGAAAAUAUGUCUAAAUACUCAACUAAUAAGUAAUUCUAUUCCAUAAGUACCUUCGAGUCAUGGUAGAUAUUUACGAAUAGGUUGAACAAGAAAAAAUUAAGGUCAAUUCUUCUUGAUCUGAGAAGCCUGAAAAAAAGUAGACAGUCUCAAACUUACUUCCUUUUACUCAGGGGAAAGGCAAUCUCGAGAUACAACAGUCUGGUUUCCAAGAGGGACCUGGAGAAGAGAGAAUGCAGGCAGCAGUGGCUGAAACAGAGCUGUCACCUACAGUUUGAAUAAUUUUAACACUAAUAUCAUUUACGUACAUUCAAGUGAACUCUUUUCUUUGUGCCCAGAUGGUGUAUUGACAUAACUGCUUUAAUGAAAAGAUCUUUUGACAACAAACGCGUUUUAGUUUUUGAAAGAGGAAGCAUUCCUUGUUGGGCUUAAUUGAUGAGGUUUAAAUAUCCUCUUUUUUCUAGGAAAUCUAGCUCUCUAACUCCUCUCGUGUUGUUAAUGCCCAGGGUGUAGGGAGCAACGGACUGAGAGUGCCCACAUCCCCCAGGGCCUCACAGAACCAUCUCAUCGGGGGUCUGCUCCCUCUGUACCUCCACCUCCGCAUCUGUUUUGUGGGUAUCUUCCCAUAGCAGGCACUUUCCUCCUGUUCCUGAGGAGGUUGUAAGCCCAGUGAGACAAGGUGAGUGAGCAUGCCUUACCUGGAAUGUGCUACUGCUUCAGUCCUUCCUCUGAUUUCCCCCAGCCCCAGCCCAGGUUGGGGCAGGGUCGACAGCUGGCCAAGAAUAUAAAACUGGCUGUUUGAACCAAUGGCUCUUUCAUGAGCUUAGCCAGGUGUCUGGUGUUGGGCCACAGUCAGUAUAUUCAUCUUUAGAGGCCAGAAGUCCAAGUUCCCUUCUGAGGUUGGUGGAAAGGAGGAGGAGAGGUGAAGCUGACCUCCUUCCCAGAAGGUGGAACCGAGGAUGACCGUCUACUAGCAGCACCCGGGGGACUAGCUCUGCGUCCUGGAACUUCCUUCUCUCAACAGGAAGUGAUGGACUGAAUAACACUUAACGCAAAGUGGGAAGCGGUCCUCCGCGUACAUGCCAGAAUGGUUAUAGACAGAGGGCUAAAGUAGUUGGAAGAAAAUUCUUAUUGAAAUAUUCCCGUCUGUAUUUUAGACAGAUUUCACCUCUGAGGAUAAAAUGAUGUAUUAUAGCAACAACAGCCUAAAUUAAUAAAAGCACAGGAAAAGACUUUAAUAGAAACUGGAAAUUUCUGUAACUUUUGCCCAACCCAGAACUUUGGGAGAUGUUAGAUGAGACAUCAGCUACAGAACCUAGAAUUGAGAGCAUUUCCCAGGACAUUAGUAAUAGGUUUAGCUAAAUAGGACUACGAUUCCUGCUCUCAUAGCUCCUCACUGUUUGCAAAGACAAAUAAUCACCCAGACUACAGAGACCAACACACAACAAAAAGGGAAAUUUAAUAAAUAUUUAAUAAACAUUUUUG
rnacentral:lncRNA from 1 species